GCAAAUUCGAACCAGUGUUAGCAAUUUAGGGAGGCCCUAAGCAACUUGGCAAGACUCUUGUUUCAAAAUAAAAAAUAAAAAAGAGCUGACAUAUGGCUCAGUGGUUAAGUACCCCUAGGUUCAAUCCCAAGUUACGCCCCCCAACCAAAUAAAUAAAUAAAUAAAAUUCUGAGCUAAAUAAACCUGUUUUAUAGCUGGGUGAUAGAAUGCAUGCUUAGUAUGUGUCAGGCCCUGGGUUUAAUCCACAGCACCAAAAAAUAAAAAAUGAACCUCUGUUUUUAAGCCUCAGGUAUUUUGCUAGAGCAAUGGAAAAUGGACUUAUACAGUAUCUCACUGCAUUUAGUGAGAUCCAGCUUUCAUUCAGCUAACCAAACAGGUAUGUAGAACAAUCCCCAACAACUUGAGCUAGCACAGUGAACCCCAAGUUUCUGUACCCAUAUUGAUAAAUGUAGCUCAAUCUAAACUUGUUCUUUUAGGUCUAGGACUUCAGUCUCACACAUUUCUUCACAUUUUGGCCAAUAUAAAGUAACAAUGUGUUAUAAUUCUUUUGAUGUAUAAGCUAUCCCUCUGGGUUUGGCUCAUGUAAUAGAGCCUCCCAGACAUGCUGAGAUCCAUCUCUAGUUUAAGGCAUAAGAGACACUAAGAAAUUGGGAGGAAGGACCAUAAGAAUCGUUGGCUCCCUUUUGCAAAGCCACAUUCCCUCAUAUCUUUCUAGGACACCUUACUUUAGUGGGCAAGGAAAGUACCAAAAAAACUGGGGGUUAGUGGUGAUCUGAAUUUUUUGUGCAUUACACUUAAUUCAUUAAUUCAGCACAUUUGUUAAGUGCCUAUCAAGUGCUAAGCAGUGGGAAUACAGGAGUAAGCAUAAUGGGUAACUUCCCUGCUGUCAGAUAGAUGACAUUCUAGUGGGGAGAGACACACACAGUAAACAAAUAAGCAAAAGAUGUAGCAUAUUAGAGGGUGCCAAAGCCUUGGAUUAGGUUAUGGAGCAUUGCACAGCCACCAGUUAGUUCAAGGACAUAGAAGAGGCUGGGGUGGCUUGGGAAGAACGAAGAAAAGGAGGAAGACUAAAUCUGAGAAGUCAUGGAGAGUAGAUUAUAUUGAACCCUAGAUAAAGGAGGACCAGUUCUUUUUGAUCUAGGACUUCAAUCUCAGGGUCUUGGGAAGAGUGACUUGACUUGAUAAACAUUUGAAAAUUAUCUUUCCUCUGGCUGCUACUGAGUUGAG
rnacentral:lncRNA from 1 species